rnacentral:rRNA from 1 species
GACGAACGCUGGCGGCGUGCUUAACACAUGCAAGUCGAACGGAAAGGCCCUGCUUUUGUGGGGUGCUCGAGUGGCGAACGGGUGAGUAACACGUGAGUAACCUGCCCUUGACUUUGGGAUAACUUCAGGAAACUGGGGCUAAUACCGGAUAAGAGCUCCUGCUGCAUGGUGGGGGUUGGAAAGUUUCGGAGGCUGGGGAUGGACUCGCGGCUUAUCAGCUUGUUGGUGGGGUAGUGGCUUAGCAAGGCCUUGACGGGUAGCCGGCCUGAGAGGGUGACCGGCCACAUUGGGACUGAGGUGCGGCCCAGACUCCUACGGGAGGCAGCAGUGGGGAAUAGUGCGCGAUGGGCGGAAGCCGUAUGCAGCGAUGCCGCGUGCGGGAUGACGGCCUUCGGGUUGUAAACCGCUUUCGCCUGUGACGAAGCGUGAGUGACGGUAAUGGGUAAAGAAGCACCGGCUAACUACGUG